rnacentral:rRNA from 1 species
AGCAUAUCAGUAAGCGGAGGAAAAGAAACUAACAAGGAUUCCCCUAGUAACGGCGAGUGAAGCGGGAAAAGCUCAAUUUUUAAAUCUCUCGGGUUCCCCGAGCGAAUUGUGGUUUAGAGAAGCGUCUUCUGGGGUCGCUUGAGUGUAAGUCCUCUGGAACGGGGCAUCAGAGAGGGUGAGAAUCCCGUCCUCAACUCAAUGCGCACUCCUCUACGAUACGUCUUCGAAGAGUCGGAUAGCUUGGGAAUGCUGUCCAAAAUGGGUGGUAAAUACCAUCUAAAGCUAAAUAUAGGCGAGAGACCGAUAGCGAACAAGUACCGUGAGGGAAAGAUGAAAAGAACUUUGAAAAGAGAGUUAAACAGUACGUGAAAUUGUCUAAAGGGAAACGCUUGAAAUCAGUCUUGCGCGCCUGAGAUCAGCCAUUCAUCAGGAUGGUGCACUCUCAGUCGUGCGGGUCAGCAUCGGUUUGGAUUGGGGUAAAAGGCUUGAGGACGGCGUUCGCGUCUGCCUGUGAGUGAUGCCCUGAACCAGACCGAGGAACGCAGUCAUGUUAUUGGAGAACCGCUCGCCUCUUUCUUCGCAGAGUCAGACAACUUGUUGACUGCCACUGUUUGCAGAUUGCGCCCGGGCGGCUAUCACACCUUGACUUAGGAUGCUGACGAAAUGGUUUUAAACGACCCGU